rnacentral:tRNA from 1 species
GCCGCCGUGGCUCGGUGCGCAUUCGACUGUUAAUCGAAGGGUUACUGGUUCGAGUCGGCGUCA